GAAUUUUAUAUAUAUUUAAUAUGGGUUAGUUUAAAUUUAUAAUAAAUAUAUAUUUAAUUGGGAGGAUUAUUAAAUUAUAUGAACUUUAAUAAAAUAAUAACUAAGAUUAAAGUAAAUUUAUAAAUUUAAUUUUUAGAUUGAUGUUAUAAUUAAUAUAGAUUAAAUUACCUAAGGGAUAACAGCGUAAUGUUUUUAGAAAGAUCUUAUUAAUAAAAAUUAUUGC
rnacentral:rRNA from 1 species